CCCCGGGUCCCUUUAACAGAGGACGACGCGGGGACUGGGAAAAUCGGUGCUUGAGGUUGGAGAAGUUUGUUUCCUCCUCCAUGCGAAAGCCAUUACAGGGCUGUCCGGGACGGAGCCCACGCAUGUGUGCACCCAGACGGUCCAACUCCCUUCCCUGCACCCUGGAAAAGUGUGUCCAGCUGUCAGCCUGGAGCCGGCCCAGCCGGAGGAGCGCGUUGCAAGUGCCUUUGAGCAAAGUUUGAUUUCUGGAUUUGCUUUGGGUCCGUCCUGACGUCUAGAAGCUACAGACGGGCCGCUUCCAAGCCAACGAGAUUGCGUGUGAGUUGGGGGCACGCGCACCGUGAGUGACAGCCUCGUCCCAAGUCUCCGUGGCACCUGGGGUCCCCCCAUCAUCUCAGCGAACUGGGUUUAGGCCCUCUCCUGCGUCUCAAGGCUCCUGGGGACCCUGG
rnacentral:lncRNA from 1 species